rnacentral:rRNA from 1 species
GACGAACGCUGGCGGCGUGCUUAACACAUGCAAGUCGAACGCUGAAGCUCAGCUUUUGUUGGGUGGAUGAGUGGCGAACGGGUGAGUAACACGUGAGUAACCUGCCUCCUUCUUUGGGAUAACGCCCGGAAACGGGUGCUAAUACUGGAUAUUCACUGGUCUUCGCAUGGGGGUUGGUGGAAAGGGUUUUUCUGGUGGGGGAUGGGCUCGCGGCCUAUCAGCUUGUUGGUGGGGUGAUGGCCUACCAAGGCUUUGACGGGUAGCCGGCCUGAGAGGGUGACCGGUCACAUUGGGACUGAGAUACGGCCCAGACUCCUACGGGAGGCAGUAGUGGGGAAUAUUGCACAAUGGGCGCAAGCCUGAUGCAGCGACGCCGCGUGAGGGAUGGAGGCCUUCGGGUUGUGAACCUCUUUCGCUCAUGGUCAAGCCGCAACAAUGGUUGUGGUGAGGGUAGUGGGUAAAGAAGCGCCGGCUAACUACGUG